AACGAACGCUGGCGGCAGGCUUAACACAUGCAAGUCGAACGCCCCGCAAGGGGAGUGGCAGACGGGUGAGUAGCGCGUGGGAACAUACCCUUUCCUGCGGAAUAGCUCCGGGAAACUGGAAUUAAUACCGCAUACGCCCUACGGGGGAAAGAUUUAUCGGGGAAGGAUUGGCCCGCGUUGGAUUAGCUAGUUGGUGGGGUAAAGGCCUACCAAGGCGACGAUCCAUAGCUGGUCUGAGAGGAUGAUCAGCCACAUUGGGGCUGAGACACGGCCCAAACUCCUACGGGAGGCAGCAGUGGGGAAUAUUGGACAAGGGGCGCAAGCCUGAUCCAGCCAUGCCGCGUGAGUGAUGAAGGCCUUAGGGUUGUAAAGCUCUUUCACCGAUGAAGAUAAUGACGGUAGUCGGAGAAGAAGCCCCGGCUAACUUCGUG
rnacentral:rRNA from 1 species